rnacentral:piRNA from 1 species
UCCAUUUAUCACUGGGAUCCAAACAAGUCA